rnacentral:rRNA from 1 species
AGGACGAACGCUGGCGGCGUGCUUAACACAUGCAAGUCGAACGGGAGUAUUGAAGAAGCUUGCUUAGAGAUACUUUAGUGGCGGACGGGUGAGUAACGCGUGAGGAGCUGUCCUAUGCAGGGGGACAACAGCUGGAAACGGCUGCUAAUACCCCAUAAGCCGAGAGGUAAAAGGAUCAAUCCGGCAGAGGAGGUACUCGCGUCCUAUCAGCUAGUAGGUGAGGUAACGGCUCACCUAGGCGAAGACGGGUAGCCGGCCUGAGAGGGCGAACGGCCACACUGGAACUGAGAUACGGUCCAGACCCCUACGGGAGGCAGCAGUGGGGAAUAUUGGGCAAUGGGGGAAACCCUGACCCAGCGACGCCGCGUGGGUGAAGAAAUCCUUCGGGAUGUAAAGCCCUGUUGUAUGGGAAGAGCGGAAGACGGUACCAUACGAGGAAGCCCCGGCAAACUACGUGCCAGCAGCCGC